GGACAAAAAAUUCCAUGGGCAAGAUUCACUCCAGUGACUCCUGGUUUUGCCCGUUUUCACCUAGAUCAGACUUUUUAAAUCAACAGUACCUUAUACUGAAACAUCACUUCUCAUUUGCUGUUUGGACAAUGGUGAUGGAACUGCUGCUUUAUUGCCUACGGAGAAGCGAAGCGAAGAGUCUAAAGUGGGUCUUGCAGUUACACUGGACAAAAGAAGUUUGAAACUGAGGCUUGGUCCUGAAGAACACAUAAAGAAGGCUGACAGAUUAUAUAUAUAUUCACAGCUUUGGCUUAAAGGUUUCUGGUUGACCAAUAAGUAAUACAAGAAGAAAUUGUCUUUUCUGGAAUUGUCCUUCUUUCCAGGAUUCCUCUGGCUGUGGUGUGAAGAAUAGACUAUAGGCCCUGAGUGGAAACAGGGAACCAUUUAAGACUUUGAAAUAACACAGGCAAGAAAUGAUGGUGGUUACAUCAACAUAAAACAGUGAAGGUGGUGAAAUCUGAUUGUGCUGAUGCUUUGGGGAAGAACAUAUCAGUAUCAAUGGUGAGCAGAAGAGGAGCAGGGAUGAUGAAAGACCACACAUUCUCCAAAAGCACUGUCCACAGAUCGAACAUUCAUAUUUUCAGAUAGUGUAACCCUAUGCAAGUUGUCAAUCUUCUCUAAACAACACUCUUCCUCAUCUCUAAAGUAAAUAUUAAUACCUACCUGAAGGUGGCAGAGAGAGUUAACUGAGAUAAUUUGGUUAAUGAGCCUGGAAUCUAGUCAACACUUACUAAAGGAAGUUAAAACCCUGGAUGGAAUAUAUAUAGCAGUUCUCUGUGGAGCCUGUAAAGUACGUGGCAGCAGGCAGACUAAGGAAAGCAACCAGAACCUGAAGAACUAUUGAACCACUUUUCCCCUCUGGCAUCUCCUGCUGUAGGACCGAGACAGCUGGAAAACAGGAACUAUACAUCAGGUACAGACAGAAUGAACUCCAAGAAAACCCACUUAAUUUUAGUCUAAAGAAGGAGAAAGAGGGCCUCAUGGGGCCAAAGAGAAUUUAUGGUUUCUACUGCUCCAUCUCCCAGGAAAUUCUAUGGCAGUGGUGGUGACAAUUGCAGUGGUGACAAUUGCGGUGGUGGCUCGUCAGGUAUCCAAAACUCCAAGAAAGGAGAGUCCUUAUGUCUGACCAGAGAAACUGAGAGAAAUCCCUGCUGCUUUUUUCUCCCUCUCUUUAUCCUCUUGCUGCUCAGCAUUGGAGGCAGAAAGAGUUAGCCCUUACUCUCCCCCCGGUAGCUUUCAGUUUGCUGAGGGCUUGUAUGUUUUUGUUGACUUGAUUUUCUAAAAUAUUCUUCAGCUACACUGACCACCACAUAAACUCUUGUUCACAUAUUUUAUGUCCAGGACAAAGCUCCUAUCGUUGAUCAAGCCUCUUCUUUCCAGAAAUGGCUUUACCUACCUCUGUUAAAAGAUUCUGUUAUAAUCAUGUCGUCAUUAUCGCUUUUGCUUAUAGGCUAUCACCUUCAUUUGUGGAUUCAUUCCCACCCUUCAGUGGCUGUUUCAGUGCUUUCCACAAAUAUCUGAAGGAAUGAUCAAGUCUGUUUUCCUAGAAAUAAAAUAUUCCAAGAAAUAUUUAAGGAUACAUUAAGAUUUCAAUAAAGCAUAAAAA